rnacentral:lncRNA from 1 species
UGCACCACCAUACUCCAGCCUGGGUGAUACAGCAAGACUCCAUCAAAAACCAACCAAACAAACAAACUCACCUGCUAUCUGUCUAUGUCUUGAUGGGCAAGCAAAAUGACUAAAGACGAUCUCACAAAUUCGUCCAUAGUGGGGAGAUAGUGAUUGCAUCUGUCACACUUCUUUCACAAUCAAAGUAUACUUUACUUUUAAAUAAAGUCCUUCUAUGCUUUCAGUGAGAAGGGGUGGGGAUUUUAAGCAAUUCCGAAGUUCACUGGGGGCACUCAGAUCCCACCCCUUAGGCUGCCAUAUGCUCACUGGAAGGAUCACAUUGAGGACCCUGAAGAGCCUGAAGAGGAAUUGCAUACCUUCUAUUAUUGCUGUUCGCUGUGGAUUGAAGUGCGUCUCUCCAAAAUCCAUAUGUUGAAGCACUAACCCCCGAUGUGACUGUAUUUGGAGAUCAGCCCUUUAAGAUGGUUUUGCCAUGUUGCCCAGGCUGGUCUCAAACUCCUGGCCCCAAGGGAUCCAUCCACCUUGUGUAAGACUGGAGCUGACAUCCAUCCAUCAGUCUUGUGGUCGUACUUCAAAGUCAUACUUCUUACCCUUCUCUAAUUUGAAGAAAGCUUGGGCUAAAGGUUGCACAUCUUCCACUGGCAACUUAUAAACCAUCAGAGAGGAGUACCUGAGAGAAAAGGAGAGGUUUUCCUUUUGAAUGACUAUCACUCAACAUAACUGACAAGUAACAGUGAACAUUUGGUACCAUUUCCAAAACAGCAACCAUGUUUAC